AUGGAAUUUGAGCAAAGACUUGCCAAAGAGAAAGAAGGAAUGCUGGAGAAAGAAAAACAACUGAAAAUAAAUCGUCUUGUGCAGGAGGUAUCUGAAACAGAACGUGAAGAUCUGGAAGAAUCAGAAAAAGUGCAGCACUGGGUGGAAAGACUUUGUCAGACACGGUUAGAACAGAUUUCCUCUGUGGAAAAUGAAUCUCCUGAGUUGGCAAGUGGACGUCCUGCCGCUUCUUCCUCUGCCACAUCAGUGAGGCGGUUUGCUGGUGGCUUACAGCUUCAUACCACAGAUCUUGAUGAUAUAAACUUAGAUGAAGUUGAGAAACAUGUGGCACCACUUCCACCACCACCACCACCUCUCACUGUUACUCCGGUAUCAUCAGCUCAUCCACUUCCUGUAUUGAAUGUUCCACUAUCCAAAGGUCCAGUCCUAACAGUAUCACCAGCUUCCCAGGUGACCUCAUUAUCUGUUUGGAUGCACGUGCCUCUACCAUUCCCCUGCUUAGCCUCCCUCCCUGGUUCCAUUACCCACUUCAUCUAUUGGAUCAGCCAGUCUACUAUUAUUUGUAACAUUAAAAUAAAUGAAGUGUUUCUGUCGUUUGAUAGUCCGUGAAUGCAGUCCAGAGGUUGUUUCAUUAUUUAUUCUUGAAAUUUAAGCCUAGAGGGCUUUGCUCUCUCCUUCCUGCAUGUGUUGCAGACCCAUCACGUGCAAAUAUGUUGGGCAGAAUGUAAUAGUUAAAAAGAUAUUUGGAUGUGUUUAAAAAAGAAAAUGUCAGGCAGCAGAUUUAAUUCAAGUUUGAGAAAAAAUAUCUGUGUAGUGAAAAUCACUGCUCUGAAAGUCUUUAAAAUUUUAUCAGGUUUGUUUGUUAGCUGCAAAGAUUGGAAGAAGAGAAUUAGCUUGAAAUCAGAAGACCCAACUUUUAAAACCUCAACACAGCAUAAAUUAUCAGUAAAGCAAUUUUAAAUGAACAAGAGUUGGUGAUCUUUCUGUAAAUCAGGUUUGCUGACUUUUUACUGACACAAAAGAGCUAGAGAUUUCUUCUUCAGAAUAUUCCAACUUUAUUACAAUCUCAGUCUAAAAGAGGAUCACGUAUGUAAGAAAUCUUGUGCCAGAUCUCAUUCUAGGAGAGAAAUGGCAGCUGCUGCAUUGCACUUUUCUCUUGCACUGUGAUGGGAUUUGUGUACUCCAAUUUGUGUACCAAAAUAUUAUUGUUUCUUUCAAAGCAAAAGAGGGUCCUGUAUUAUCACGUCUUUCCUACGUGUUGUUUUUCCUGCAUGGAUUUAUCGAUUGCACUAUUGUGUGUGUUGUUUGCUUGGUUUUUUUUUCUUGCAUUUUUACUUGGAAAUACUAGAUUUCUGCUUUUGCGUGAUUUUGGUUAAAGUGAGAAAGGAUAUGCAAGUUUAUCACUUCUUGGGGGAAACCGGCAGAUUAUGUGAAUAAUUGCCUUAAUGCAAACUACAUAUAUUUCAUCAUUAUCUUCUUACAGUGCUUCCUCUUACGUGGGUUACAAGUUUGAAGUGCCAAGAAUAUGCUAGAUCCAUUGAAAUGGAGAUGUCGCACGUUCUUAUGGAUAACAAAGAUCCCUUGUUGUCCACAAAUAAGUGCGUGUGCAUCUAAUGCUAAGGGUCUGAUUUUUAAAGGUAACACAGGAGCUUCUAAACUGGAUCUAACCUCAAACUCACAUAUUCCAAUAUGUGUUUCUGGUAAUUAUUCACUGCCAGAUGUCUUUGAGCAAAAGGUCAGUAAUUAAAGAAAAACACGGCUGGCAAGAACAACAAAAAUUACCUAGCCUUCAGUAAUGGUAGGCUAGUUCUCACUGAAUAUAAUUAGCUGUGUAUACAAGGAAACAACUAAGCUCUUAAUAAACUACUAAUACUGAACUAGAGCUGCUUUGUUUAUAAGCAGUAUUAUCAGUAACCUAGUAUUGCUAAUGGGGCAUCAGACAUGAUAGUAAAAUCAGAAGGUGGACAGCUUCUCCUUGCCUCUUCUUAAAAAAUGCUGCAAGUAAAACAAAAACAUUUUGUUUGAUUUCAAUAAUGAAACAUCUUGCAUUUAUGCCAACCAAAGCAAAAAUUAAGGAAGACUUCGUGUUGUCCACCAAGAAUAUUUUUCUCAUUUUAUUCAAAACUGUAAAUCUUUUCUUUGGUGCUAUUUUUCCCCCAAGAUCAUUGUAUUUCAAAUUCAGCUCUUAACAAAUACCUGACAAAAAGAACGAAGUUUCCUGUCAAGUAUGUUCUUGGCAACUAGCUGUUAAAACACCUCAUAUAAAAGGAUCUCUUUUAUAAGAUUAUUAGCAACUGUAUAUUUUUACCUGAACCCAGUACUAAGUCUGCUACUGUUUAGGUUGUAAGAAACACCUCCCACGUUGGCAAAGUGUCUGCCGUGUCAAGCAGUCCGCUGGUAUGUCAUGUGUUGUUAAUAAUGAAUGUAGUUUUAUGAGUUUCCCAUGUAAUGGUAACGUAAAGGAAAGGUUAAGGGUCUCACUCUGCAUGGCUGAUUUAUUUUAAAUUUGGCACUUGCAGUCAUAUGUCUGUAUCCUGUUACAAGAUACCUAAUGCCAGGUAGUGACUUGUAAUGAUCUGAAGACUUCAUAUUUCAAACCUUCAACCAUAUACAGUCAAAGUUUGUGUGUUCCAUGCAAAGUCUCUACACUGCUGACCACGUGAGAGUGCUUUUCUGCUAAGACAAAGAGCUGGGACUGAGCUGUAUGUUAAACAUCAUGACUACAUGCUACAAAGUGAGCUCUUUUUUUCUUUUUCAUGAGAACAACUGCAUUUAUUUCAUCAGUGUUUGCAUUGAUUUUAAUUUAGGAUGACCGGAUGUCAGGUUUCCCCAUUCUGAGGCACUCUCCAUGUUGCGCAACUCCAGGAGAAAUUAUUCAGUUCCAGUGUGACUUUAACAAAGUUAAUCUGUAAACUUUCUCUCUCUUCUGAAACCAGAAAGUAAUAAUAUAUUUUAUGGAGUGGAAGCAACAUUAAUUGAGGGAUGUCUACAUGAAUUGAGGGACUUUCAAAGAACUGGUUCCAAAAAUUCUUAAAUAAAUAAAUAAAACAAUUUACUGGAAGCAAUUCAAAUAAUUUUAGAAGAUACAGCAUGUACCAUGUGAAUAAUAUCUGGAAUAGGCCAUGUUUCUGAUGAGAAACAUUGACAAGACUGUCCUGAGAGAUGCUGGGGUUAAGUCAAACUAAACCCACAGGGCUCAGUUUUGAACUUUUUACUUGAGCACAGCUACACUUGACGUCAGUAGGAGUUUUGACUGAGUAAAAAGUGUGGAAUCAGUCACAUAGCUAGUACAUGCUGCAUGAUUAAAUUUCAAAUGCUUCUAGACAUCUGUACUUUGUAGAGUAGUUAGCAUAGCUAAUCUUUGUUCUUGACUCUGAGUUAUCUUGAAGUUAUUUAUGUGGAAAGCAAUUUGCUCCAAGUCCACCUACCCAACGACAUCCAGGGGUACCAAUAAUCUCUAAACCAGUCAUGCUUCAUCCUGACCCAAACCUUAUGGUCAGGCCAACUAUCAAAUCAGAGGCCCUGGUAAGCCUUUUAAUGCUUUUAUUCUCUUGUGAAUGUUACAGUACUGUGGGAUUUGUUGUUGAUUUCUUCUCAAAGAAGCAGUGCUUGUCUCAUUUUCUGCUAAGUAAAAGUCAUAUAGACUUUCAAGUAAUCGCUAAUGGUAAGUACAAAAGGAUAUUUUUCCAGUUGUUCAUAAUCUAAGAGUCACAUUAAUGGCAGUUUUUGCACUAGUGUGUAGAAUUACAGAGCAAUAUAGACCUUAAUCUCUAGGAGAGUGUGCAGAUGUUAUUGUUUCACUUGUUCGUGCAUUGAUUUGCAUUUUCAUAAUUCAUGGGUCCUUUUAAUAGAAAUGAAAUAGUAAAAAGCUUAUUAUACUGCUUUUUUUUUCUUCUGUAAAUAGUCAUAAAUAUACUUGAAAUGUAUCUCUGCAUCUCAUUCUUUUGUUGGCAGAGAGAAAACAAUGUUGGUAUCUUAGAUAUCAAUAAAUGGAUGGUGCAAAGUCUAUUCACAGUUAGGUACUUUUUUAUUUUACCAAUAUCUGUUUCAAAUAUAAAUGAAGAAGAAAACCUGAAGAUAAAUAUUAUUGACCAAACAUAUAGCAUCUUCAAGAACUGUUUUAUGAGGGAAGAUGAGCUAUGGCUUUCUGAAAAGAAGGAAAUACUGUUAUGGCAAGUGGUAACUCCCACACAUCAGCCCAGAAAUUUCAUCUAAGAUAACUGAUGGAGAAAUCAGUAGUUACAACGUUAUUAUUGAGGAUAAUUUUGGCUUGUUUUGUUACCAUUGGUGUUAUGUGUCAAUUAUAUGUAUGUGUGUAGAUGUGUGCAUAUAUAUGUACACAGUUACAAGAGGAGGGCUGUAUAUUGUAGUGUGAGCUUUUCAUGUAGCGCAAAACAUCACAUUUGCAUUCCAUUCAUUUAAUUAAAAGCUUAUGCUAUAUCUGACAAUAAAUGAUAUGCACAGCAUUCGUAGCUGUAUUUUGUGACAAUGGGAUGGAUUUUUCUGUUACUUUCUUCCACAAUUGUUCCUCUAUUUCCCCAAUUAAGUUUGAAAAGAUUCAAAUGCUAUCAAAUCAGCUCUUCUAUAGACAUAUUUGCUGUGAAACUUCUCUAUUAUAAAUAGAUUGAAAUGAAAAAUUAAAGCAGGUUUUGUAAGUUCCUCAAGAUGAGGCAGAUGGAUGAGCUUGAAAAAAAGAUAAAAAUCAUUCUAGCAUAGUUAUUUCCUUCAGUUGUAUGCAAGGAACUUCCAUUUUAGUUAUGUUUAGAAAUUUAUAACAUUUAUGUGCAUUUUGACAUUCUGUAGAGGAGGAUUAAAAAGCGUAAAAGGCAUAAUCUACAGUUAAUACAAUCAAAAGUUGAAAAAUAAAUAUCUGAUAUAGAAAUAUUAAGUAGUAUGAAAAUUUGGUAAUACCCUUGUGUGUGAUGAGAAGGUCUUGAUACAAAAUGGAAAUAUUGCUUUGUUUAUUGUCACUGUGUACAGUUAGUGUGACAAACUGGCAAUAAGAUUCAUUCUCAUAGGGAAAUUUCUUACCAUUUGUUAUGCAUCUAUGCACACUGUCCAGACCACAAGAGUACUAAAAUGUUUUAGAUAUCAAUAAUCCUGAUUCCUCAACUGCCUUACAUGAGUUGGAAGAUCACAGUUUCAUUGAGAGUAAUAUUCUAAUAGGACUUUGAGAAAAACAUCUGUCUGUGAAUUGUUUUUGCAGACCAGUUACCUCUUUGCUCUAUUUAUAUCUUAAUGCUAUAAGAGUUAUUCAUCCUGGCUGCAUUUGAAGCCACAGUAGUAGUAUGUAGAAUAAGACUUGCACGGACUCUGUCUUAUAUGUUGUGAAUAGAAUGCAUGCAUAUAUAUUUUAUAUAUUUUAUGUAUUUUUUAAUAUAUGUAAUGUUUGCAUAUAUAGUGUGUGUGUGUGUAUGUAUCUAUACAUAUAUGUGUUUGCAAGAAUGGGUAAAACUUUCCAAAUCUCCUGUUAUCCAGGAGCUUUGAUGACUGUUGUUACUUAAAUCUUUAUAGUAACUGAAUUCAGGCUAGGAUUUCCAGGUUUCUUAAUAUUUCAUGAAAAUGAAAUUAUUUUCACUUAUAAAGUGACGGAUGGAAAUUAAAUGUUGAAUGUGGCCUUGAAUGCAUAGAGCUCUCUGGAUCAAAAUCAGUUUCAAAUGUGUGGCUCCAUAGUGCUGGAGUGAAUUAAAAUACACUCACGGCAAGGCUAGUUAAGUUUUGGUUCAGAGAACAGGGGAGGAUGGCUAUGAUUCAGUGGUAAGGUUUUCAGAGGGGCAAAACCAACAUGGAUACUAGUCUUCUCUCCCAGCUAUCACAAACAUCUGUUUGUGUGUUAGAAGGCCUUGAUGCAAUUGUGAAUGUUUUCUCUCCUGAGCUCCACUGUGGUUUGAUAUGGAGUUUCGGAAAGGAACGGUUAAUAUUUAAGCUUUUCUUGCAAGAUGUGAAGCUUGAUUCUGCAGGACUGCAGCUAAAGUGUAUCAGAUGUAGCAGCAAUAAGACAUAGUCAGAAAUUUCAGUUGUUAACCAUAGUUACAACGAGAUCAUCUGAACAGAAAAAAUUAUUCCUUGUUGUUAAGUGGCUGGGAAGGGGCUCGACAGUUUUGGGAUAUGGAAACGUGCACUACCUACAUAGUUCCUUUAUGAUUUGAUAUCAUUUUGCUAUGUGUAUUCUCUCACUUGCAGUUGUGUAGGGAACAUGUACUAAAAAAUGCAAGUAUGAUUCAGUCCCAAGAAGAGCAAAAAAACAUUGAGUUCAUGUUAUCAGGUGAUAUUUGUCUACAGCAAGGAGUUAAUACUUGGUUUGGCCGUGUUCUUUCUUUUGCAGCCACAAGAGAUGUUUAAAAGGAUGGUGGUUUACAAUUCAUCAUUUAGAUCUAACAAAAAACAAGUAAAAUAACAUUUUCCAUGUUU